rnacentral:tRNA from 1 species
GGGCUCGUGGUGUCAACACGUUAAAUUGCAAAUUUAAAGUCGUAGAUUAUAAGUCUUCCGGGGCUU